rnacentral:lncRNA from 1 species
AAAGUACAACAUAAAACACGAUCCGUCCUCUUAGGCUUGAAAUAAUUGAACCAUGCUAAAACAACUCAAAAAAGUUUAGACCUAAAACCUAAGAGUAUUUGCACCGGAUGACUGAUUGGUUGGCUGAUUUGCUAAUAUCAAUCAUUUCAUCAAUGCAUCGGGGACUUAUUGGCCGACUAAUUUGUAUGGCCCGCACGAAUAGUAACUGUCUAGGCAAUUGAGUUAUUGAUUCUUGCCUAUGGUUUUGCCCGACCAAUUUGGUGGGUGCCACAACUGCUGCCACAAGGAGAAGGUAUUUAUAAGCCAUGUGUUGUGCAACGGUAGUUUAAUUAUGGGACAAUGCCCACUAGCUCUAAUUUUAAGAAUUUUAUUCCUGCUAACAUAAUCAAGAUUUAAAAUUCCCAAGCCAACUUAAAUAGCAGAAAGACAAUUAUACCUUUAAUGAAUUAAAUAAACUACAAUAAACUAUUAUAAGAGCAGAAAUACAAUUAUACCCUUAAUGAAUUAAAUAACUACAAUAGAACAUUAUAAGAGUUUUUAUAACCGGAUUCUCACGACCAAUGACGUUGACCGGACUCCGGCAAUCUUUGACCAGGCUCCGAGGACCGUUAACCGGACUCCGAGGGCCGAUGACUGGACUCCGGGGACCGUUGACCGGGCUUUAGGGACCGUUGUCCGGACUUUCGGGGGCCUUUGACCGGACUCCGGCGACCGUUGACGGGGCUCCGGGGACCGUUGUGCUUUAGUCACUUAUAACAGGUCCCUAUUGAGGGCAAUAUGACCACCUAUUGGGGCAGUAGGACCACCUACUGAGGGCAGUAGGACCUCCUAUUAGGGUUAGUAAGACCUCUCCUACUAGGGUCAGUAGGACCUCCUGUUGGGGGUAGUAGGAUCUUCUACUGGGGACAGUAUGACCCUUGAACUUAACUGUGUGCUUCAGUCACUUAUAAUAGGUCUCUAUUGGGAGCAGUAUGACCACCUAUUGGAGGUAGUAUGAUCUCUUAUUAGGGACAGUAAGACUCUUGAACUUAACUGUGUGCUUCAGUCACUUAUAACAGGUCUCUAUUGAGGGUAGUAUGAUCGCCUAUUGAGGUCAGUAAGACCUCCAAAUCAAUCAAAGACAUCCAAUCCCUUCAAUAACAAGUACCUAAAAAGAGAACUAACACAAAUUCUUAGCACAUGAUCUUAGUUUCACAAUUCAUAAACUAUUAUCAUAAACAAAGAUUUUUUUUUCAAUAUUUGAAAUUAGUUGGAUGAAAUCAAAGAUGCAAAAAUUGAUAAGAAGAUGGUUCGUUGACCAUAGUGGAAAAAUAUGAAAUCACAUAAGUAAAUGAGUAAACAAUGAAUAUGUUAUCAUCAUCAACAUCCGUUGUGUGUGUGGGGAUAAUUAUGGAACCCAACAAGGAUUCAUAUAGAAAAACCCAACUGAUUCAAUUCUCACUCUUCACUAAUCAAGAAAAGAAGACCCAAUAGUAGUCGAUAGAGAAUGCCUUUUUUUUUUUUGAGAAUGAUAGAGAAGGCCUUGAGUUUACGACUUCUACACCAAAUUGUACCAUGCUUGCGUGGUUUUGAAGAUGAGUGAACGAGAAUAAUGGCCAGUAUCCAACUGAAACCCAUUACCAAAUUCGUCAACAAACCCCGACUAAGAAACCAAACUCCGUUGCGAAAUCCAUCAAGGUUUAACCCGAUUCCCGACCCCAAUUCCUUCUUCUACCUUUCCCGAUUUUGUUGUUUGGAUUGACAGCGCUUGGUUCAGACGUCGUCGGAGGUUAGCUGGUUCAGAUCUCGUCACAGGGCUUGAAUCAGACGUCAUCAGAGGCAGCUGUCUCGUCGGUAGCAGGCUGGAGAGAGAGAGAGAGAGAGAGAGAGAGAGAGAGAGAGAGAGAGAGAGAGAGAGAGAGAGAGAGAGAGUAGUAGUAGUAGUAGUAUAUANNNNNNNNNNNNNNNNNNNNAGAGAGAGAGAGAGACGUGAGCAGAUCUAGAUUUAGAUAUGAAAUAUGAAAGUUUGGAGAGGAGAUAGGAAAUUUGAGGGAGAGGUAUUUUAGACAACAAAAAUACGGAAAACCUGAAAACUUUGUUAGUGAAAAUAUGUCUUUUAAGAGUGUUUGGGUUUAUGAAAAUUUUGGAAUCUUAUUUUGUUAGUAGAAAAAAAUCCUCAGAUUUAGGGUUAGUGAGAAUUUUCUUUUUAAUUAUAGCUGUUUGAUUGAUAUCUAACGGCUAUGAUUAAAUUACAACGAUAAUUCUUUUUUUUUUGAAAAAUAAAAUAAUUAUAAAAAUUUCUAUUCAUACCUCCAAAAAUGGCAAUUUGGACCUCCUUAACAUUUUUGUAACUUUAGAAAUCCAUUUUUACUCUUGAUUUAUAGAAUUAAUUAAGACAAAAAAAAAUUCAACUCAUUUGCACAUAUUUUUUUCCAGGGUUUGUUCACUUGCAUCUUUUUUGUUGUCAAAAGAAUUAAGAUCUGAAAUGCUGAAAUACUAUCUGGUUCUUGAUCGAUCUGGUUAUACCUUUCCUAUUUAUAAUGGUAACAACAAAAAGUGGGUCGAUGAUCCCAAAUUUAAUUUCAUGUUUAUCAGGUAAUAAAACCCAUCGAGUUAAACUCUGGUGGGUUCUUGAUCAGAUCAGAAUGUGAUUUACAGGUGCGUUAAAUCUUGAAACAAUCUCAAAUGAAUCAAUCUUGACUGAUUCCAUUAUUUUUCUUGCUUUGAUGCAGUGAAGCAGAGACCACUUCCUUCUUCCUCUGCCUUGAUCAAGGUUAGUACUAGUCCCAUGUUCCGGUUUGAUUUCCUUUCGUUGUUCUGAUACAGUAAGAGUCAAAACUUGUUAUCAAGGCUUAUGAUCCAGGAACUUAAACUUGUUUUCAACCUAAACUGAAGUCCCAGUUUUAUUUGUGUGUGAUACAGAACAGUAGGUACGAAUGAAUAGAUUCCCAUUUUCUUCACUUUUCUAUUUAUGCUCAAUUCCCAUACUUUGUCCAGUAGGGUAUAAAUAAUUUGAAGAAGAUUAAGUAGAAAGAAAAGGACCAACAUGAAACCAUCAGUCCAAACAAAACAGAGGCCAGACAACAGUAAUCAGAGGCCUAACUGUGAACUUAAUUUAUGAUGCAUCAGAAAAAAAUUGUAUGAAGAUAAGUUGUGAACUCCCAAGCUAGCUAAUCAGAUCAAUACUUUGAAGGCUUUGAAGGCUAGCUAUUAUGUGAAACGAAAGCAGAAGAUGAAGAAAAACAAAGAAAAAAAAUUUAAUUUAAUUUACCCCACUGUGGUUUAGAGGUGAAUUCAUGUUAGUUCCUAAACUUUCAAUUUCAUCAGAUUACUCCCAAGCUCUUGUUUUUUUGUCUGCCGUCUCCUAUCACUCAUGCUCCAUCCAAUUGGGACAUUGAAAUUGAUGAGGUCUGAUGAUGUUUGAGGGUUGAGAAGCUAAAUUACCAGAAAAACAAGAGCUCAGGGGGUAAACUGAUGAAAUUAAAAGUUUAGGGACUAACAUGAAUUCACCUCUAAAUCACAAUGGAGUAAACUGAAUUUAAUUCAAGAAAGAAAGUGCAGAGGACUUUGAAGGCUACAUUGUGCAAUCUUCAUUAAGCGAGAAGUGAAAGUUACAAGAGUGCAUAUAGAUAUAAGUUGAAAUAAUGAAAUUUCAGAACUAUCACUUCUCUAAUAUACUCCCACACUGCAAACAAGAAAUGCCUCAAAACUUAAAACCAUUUCAAAAAUCCAUCAAAAGUAAUCAAUUUAACUUUAGAAUUAAAUUCAGUUUACCCCAUAAAUCUUUGGUGCCAAAAUCAGUUCAGUCCUGUAACUUUUUUUUUUUUUAAAUUCAGUUCGCUCCUUCAACUUUCGUAAACACAUCAGUCAGUCCAAUUUUUAAAUCAGUUCGUCUCUUCAACUUUUGUAAACACAUCAGCUCGAAACACAAACCUAAGAAAGAAAUACAUUAUAACGAGAUCUUGUAGCACUUACCAAUGAGGCCCUAUUGAUUAGAAUGACAGAAGAAAUCAAUUAUAGACACUAAUAUAAUUAGAUCUGCUAUUCAUUGACAAGCUUGGGAUUUGCGAUCCCAAGUAAUAUCGGUAUAACAUAAUGCGUAAGGACAACAUGAUGUUAGCCCCAAUACUGCUCUAAAAAGGAAGAGAUAAGGACUAAGUUCCGAAUCCCCUCUGCCGCCUUGUGUUUCUCGGCUGCCUCCUAUGCUGAAUGUCUCUAGCUACAAACCAGUCAUGGUUCUUGUCUGUCCAAAAGUGCCUCCCAACUACUCCAACUAUUAGACCAGUAACAACUCCUGGCAGUACCAUAAACCAAUCUAGCUCAAUUUGAAACUCAGAGUCUUCAUCUUGUUCAAAGGUUGUUUGAGGUGUUGCUCUCUCGGAAUCUUCACAUUUCUUUGGCAGAGGUUUUCCACACACACCUGAGUUUCCUUGGUAUAUUUUCUCAUGGAAUGUAUCAAAUUGUUGACCAAGUGGGAUAGGACCAUAAAGCCGAUUGUGGGAUACGUUGAAGUGUGCAAGGAAUGUCAGUUGUGCUAGAUCACUGGGGAUCUUUCCUGAGAGCUGAUUUUGGAAGAGCCAUUAAGUUCCUCAAAGAAGAGGGGACGGGACCAGUGAGAGUGUUGUUGGAAAGACUGAGCAGAUUAAGCGCUCUUAGGUUCCCAAUGAUACCUGGAAUCUCUCCUUCAAAUCUGUUACUUGAGAAGUCUAUGAGCCUCAGAAGAUAAGGGGUCUUGAAAUACUUCAAUUUGACACCUUUGCUGAAAACUGUAAUCGUGUAAUCAUAGUAGACCGAGUCUGAAUUCAACCCUUUGAAGUUGACGUGGGAUUGGAAGUAUUUUCUCUCUUUUGCAUCAACAGAUUUCAUGGAAUUCCAGUUCUCUAUGUAGUCGGAGGGCAACAUACCUUAAAAUUCAUUGCUAGAUAAAUCAAUGAUGGACAGCCCAGAAAACUCUUGAGUACUUGCCGGCUUCUCAAUUAUGCCAUGAAAUGCAUUGGACCACAAACUGAGAACUUUUCAUUGUUGAAGCACUCCUAACCAAGCUGGGAAAGUAUCACUGAUCUGAUUAUUUCCCACAUUAAGAAACAUCAAGUCAGGACAAUGGGCAAUUGAUCUUGGUAGCUUCCUUUGUAGCUGAUUAUAACUUAAGUCAAUCCCUUCUAACCAGCUGCAUGUGUUAGAACCCAUUCGAGGAAUAUCCCCGUGAAAAGAAUUGUUCCACAGUUUCAAUAGCUGAAGAACUCCGAAAUUCUCAAAGCAUUGGGGAAUUAUGCCAUUCAGGUUGUUGUUAGACAAAUCAAGAAUAGUUAGGUUCACCGUGUUGUAGAAUGUUGCUGGAAUUUCUCCUGCAUAUUCAUUGCUUGAAACAGAAUAUAUAUGCAGUGUCGACGCUGGAACUGGCAGUGAUCCUCGUAACAUGUUAGAGUUGAGCUCUAAAGUGAUUAACCGAGCCCAUGGAAGAAUGACUGGAUUUCCUUCAAAUCCAGUUAAGCAGUUGUGAGAGAGGUUGAGAUUCAACAAAGUUUCACUAGUUGAGUUCCACAACCAUUUUGGUAUUUGGUCCUGAAGAUUGUUGUUAGACAGAUCAAGUUGCCACAGUCCACUACUAUAUUUCAAAAAUUCUGGAAAAUCUGUUAAGUUGCAUGAACCCAAUCCUAGUUCUUUAAGCUCUGGAGCAGUAAAUCCAGUUUUGAAAUCCACAGAUAACUUCUUGAACGACAAACUAAGUCCCUUCAACUUUUCGAGCUUGGAGAACUCAUCCAAUACAACAGACCCACUCAAGUUAUUUGAGUCGAGGUGUAUAUAUUCAAGAUUUCUAAGCUCGAAUAGUGACCUGGGAGUUUCUCCUUGCAGAUUGUUCGAGUGUAUGUCUAAAAAAGUUAACUGGGUCAACUACCCAUGGCAAGAUGGGAUUCGACCAGUUAUUUGGUUGAAGCCCAAGUAUAACUCUGAAAGUUGUGUCACGUUAGCCAAACAACAUGGGAGUUCACCAGUUAUUUGAUUCAUGAGCAAGUAUAAUUUUGAAAGUUGAGUCAGACUAACCAAAGAACAUGGGAUUGCAGCAGUUAUUUGAUUUUCACUCAAGUCUAAUUGCUUAAGUUGCGUAUGAUUAGCCAAAAAAUCUGGGAAAUCUCCCCUUAAGUUGCUUGAACGAAGGGUCAAGUAGUUAAGUUUGGUUAGCUUUCCAACCCAAGACCAGGAAUCAGUAACUUGGCCACUGAAAGUACUCGAGUCGAAAAAAGAAGAAAUAUCAAGGAAAUUUAGCUCGGUAAGGUUGGAAAGUGAAGAUGGAACAUGGGGAUAAAACAGACAUUAUGCUAUGUUCAACACAUUUAAGGCACGAAGGUUUUCGAUUGAAGCUGGUAGAUGACCAGAGAAAUGGCUGUGGAAAAUAUUGAGUACCUUCAAGGGACUGCUCUUGUUAAACGUAUCAGGAAAAUAGCCUUUUAAAUCCUCUUUAGAGCACAAAUCAAGUACUUGCAAGUUUGGUAGGUGGAAAAUGCCUACUGGGAACUGCCCCUCCAAAUUACAUGCUCCAAGAACGAGAGAUGUCAGAGAAGACGCAUUCACCAAUGUGCUAGGCACUGUCGAGGAUAUAUCUACCCAACUAAGAUGAAGUUGUUUUAUGUGGGUUAAGUUCUGAACUAGGCUUCCGAAGUUGGCCAUUUUGAGAUGAGACUCGUAAGUAGUAGACAGAUCAAGGGCAGACAGCUUGGAUAGAUAUGAAAUUUCUGAUGGGAUUUGGCCAGAAAAUGAAGACAUUGAAAGGUUGAGAUAAGUUAGACUAGUAAGAGCAUCGCCUAACCUGGAUGGUAUUUGAGAGAAGCUGAAGUUAUUGUCUGAGAGGUCAAGCCUCUGCAACUGAACAAUUUGAAAAAGACUGCUGCUGGAGUUGAUGGAACCAUGAAGAUAGCUGCUGGCAAGGUCAAGGCCAACAACAUUGUUAGGACCCACCCCGAAUUUCACCUUGAAAUCCGAGGUAAAUCCUGCGGGGUCCACCUUCAAGGAAAAUUUACCGAAAAUUCAGCAUAACCUUCUUUGAAAAUGGACUAACUUAACACUUCUAUAAUCAAACAUCUAUCCUCAUCUCCUGGAGCCUUCCUGCUCUCCAAGUUCAUCAAAACUCCCAAUAACAAUUUUUCUCAUCUAACAAUUCCACAACCAACAACAAAGACAUUUAAUAAGCUACUACUGGACUUUCAGCGCAUAUCUAAUGAUGAAUGAAAACAAUGAAAACGAAUAAGCGGAAGCAGCCUUUAACUAUGCCUCAACUCCAUGUACGCUCGUCCUCAAAUAACUUAGCCUGCAAACUGGGCAUUUAUAAACCAAAGGGCCCAGGGGAAAGUAAUUUAAAAACGUUAAAGUGAGUGGACGAAAAUAAAUUCAAUAACUUAACAAUUAUAAAACUUAUAUACUUUCCCACUUUUUAACUUUUAAAACUUAAAAGCAUGCAACUUAAACGUCUUUAAAACUUUAAAUCCAAAAUCACUUAAUAAAGGACAGAUCAGCCCCGCUGGUUAGUUAAAACAGAAAUCUCAUAAGAGGAGAUAAACCAGCCCCGUUGGUUAAUCAAAUAUAUUAUUGAGAAGAAUAAAAUAGGGGAAGAGUUAUCACCAUGAAAAAGGAGCCUCCCAGGCUCGGGUCGAUGCCUCCCAGGCUAUAAUAGCGUCUCACGCUAAGCGCUCAACUCACAUAUGAUAAGGACCACUAAAUAAAGCUAUAAUAGCGUCCCGCGCUAAGUGCUCAACUCAUAUAUGAUGAGGACCACUAAUAAGGCUAGCUAACUAAUAAAUAUAAAUACCGAUCGGUUGCCUCCCAGGCUAUAAUAGCGACUCACAUAUGAUGAGGACCGCUAAUAAGGUUAGCUAGCAUUAAUCAAGAUAAACGACCCUAUAAUAUGGUGACUAAAACAUACGAAGUCUCUAAAAUCCAUUAAACUUCCCCAAUAACAAAUGAAUGGUACGGUUCCCAACCGUAUUUGAAAAUCAUCAUAAGAAAUUUUACUAAAACUCAAUGACGUGUCUCACACGUCAAAAUAUUCUCGAAACCAUUUUAUAGCGAGAUUUCAAUAUCAAAUAUAAAUCAUAAAUAACAAUAUCUCCACUCGAAAAUACUCGCUAAAAUAUUCUCAAAGUCAAACUCAUUAUGCCUUAAAUAAACAAUUAAAUUAUGAGGAGAACUACCGACAGUCCCAUUUUCGGUAAUCAUUUAUAAAAAUCAAAGUCAAGAUCGAUGUUCCACCAAUGAUUUCGAGAAUUAAAAAUAGGAAACUACCGAAAAUCCCAUUUUCGGAAAUCUUAUAUAAAUCUCAAAAUCCACCAUUAAAACCAUUUAAUGAAAUCCGGAAUUUAUAAAAAUAUCCAAACUCAAAUAUCAAAAUAAUAAUCCGAGCUCAACUCCAUAAAUCAUGACCAACACUUAAUAAAUGCACCAAACUCAAAUAAUUUUCAAGCUCAUCUCAUGAACUGAAAAAUUAUAUUAUAUGCUCGGAAAAUAAAAUGAUAGAUUAUAAAAUCUUGCAUGCAUACUUAUUUUUAAAACCAAAAUGUCCACUCACAAAUUUAGGCAUAAGCCCAACGAUAACCGCAACGCCACUCAAGCGAGGUUCUUUUCGCAUCCUGGCACAACAACCAUGCUUAGAACCAAACUUCAAUUCCAGAAAAUAAAUACGUGAAUUAAAAUAUCUAACUCUCCUCUGUUUAACCCUCUACUCUUAAUAGGGUUAAACUCGCCGGAUUCACACCAAACUCCACCACAACCUUAAUUCAUCAAUUCUAACAUUCUAUAAUAAAUACCAAGGAAAUCCAACGGUCGGAUUUUCAUUCUAAUAACCGGCAUUUUCUCCAAUCUCCGAAAAAUUCCAAACCUAACCAAAACUCAUCCAAAAAUUCUAAAAUAUACUUCAAUCAACUCCUCUUAUUAAAACCAUCUGAAAAACAUGAAAAACUGCUCUUAAGGGGCGGCGGCGGCGGCGGCGGGCAGCCGUUUUCCGGCGACCUCCAAUGCUUCUCAAAUUUUCACAGAAUAUUCCUCUCAUCAUGCUCAACAACAUUCAUAACUAGCACUUAGUCCAUUUCUAAAGCUAACUAGGGCAAUCAAACCAAAACAUCCAUAAAUCCCUAAAACUUCAAUUAUACAUUUCUCUAUAACCACAACGAGAUAGACUAAUUCCUUUUGAGGGAUUACUCACCUUGAUGAGGGCUACAAGAUGAGCCUAAGAUUUCGACCUAUGGCGGCCGGAGGUGGGAUUUCCGGCAAAAAGCUUCCCGGCGUCUCCGGCAGGUUUUCUCCUCUUCCGGCGGGCUAACGGCUGGGGGCUAGGCCGGGUUGGGAGAGGAGGUGGCGGGGGGUCCGGGCAGAGGUGGUCCGGCAGUCCCUGGCGGCCAGACGGCAGCGGACAGAGGCUCUUCUCCGGCGGGUCAAGUUGCACGGGUGAGGGAGGGAGAGAAAGUGACGGUGAGGGAGAGAGGGAGAGAGAGGAAAUGAGGGGGAAGGGUUUUGGGCUGCUCCAUAGCCGGCCCAGCUAUAAACCCAACCAAAAAAUAAUACCCAUUAAUAAUUACCCCCUUUCUGCAACUCAAAAUUUACUCUUUUAAUAAUAACUUUUUCAUGCUAACUCCGAUUUUAACACAUAGCAUGUCUACGAACUCGUAUUAACGUCCUCUACAACUUUCAUGAAGAAAGUUUCCCCAAAUUCCAAAUGGAAAAGAAAGUCAACUUUAGGGUACUUAAGGGGUAACCGGUUACUUAACACAGUAAAAGACCAAAAUAAUACCAAAGUAAAUAACCGUAAAAUAACUUAAGAACCGGGGCGUGACAAACAUGGCCAGAGUCGUCGUUGCAUUCAACACCAUCCCAUGAACAACAGUUGCUUCUCUGAGGAUCUACUUCUACGCAACCUUCGGAUAAGCAAAGGGAUCUUGGGAAGCGGACUUGUCUAUGGUGAAACUAGCUUUGAAUUGCAACAAGGCAGAGCGCUCAUUGUCGUGGCAAAGUGUUUGGGUAUGAGCAGAAGAAAAACAGCAUGCAGCAUUCAUGAGCAACAAGAGUAUAGAAUAAUGCACCGAAAAGAAGUCACACCAAGAUGAUCCAAUUCCCUUUCCCAUGAAGUAAAUAUUCUGUUUUCUUAGUAUAUGCGUAUGUAGGUACAAUGUUGCCAGAAACGCGGGACGUUCCGGUACGGGAACGCGGUACGGGUACGCGGUACGUUAGUCUUUAAGAUACGCGGUAAUCUAGGAUAUAUUAGCUAAUUUUAAUUAAAACAAAUUAAUAAAAAUAAGAUUAUAGAAACAAAAUAAAUUGAAACCCAUACCAUAAAUUUACCAUAAAUUUAUAUACCAAAAUAUCGAUCCCUUAUUGAUUCACUAGAUAAAUCACAUAACUCAUGAAAGACAAACAAGUAAAUUAAUAGAUAAAAUAAUAAGAAAAACUGUAUUUAUUUAGUUUUUUAAUUAUUUUCUGGAUAAAGAUCAGUUUAUAUUGAGAUGAUCAUGUCUUGAUUUGAUUAUGUGGAUCUUCACACCAACACCGGCAUCAAAGAAUCGAAGAUCACGUUUCAAACAAGUCCAACAACCUCCACCUUCACGUUUCAAUCAAUUACCCGCAACUCCCAUCUCCUCCUGCUAAUUCUACACCUGCUCCUUGUGAAUUUUGCACACAAAUCCUCACUNNNNNNNNNNNNNNNNNNNNNNNNNNNNNNNNNNNNNNNNNNNNNNNNNNNNNNNNNNNNNNNNNNNNNNNNNNNNNNNNUAUAUAUAUAUAUAUAUAUAUAUAUAUAUAUAUAUAUAUAGAAAAGGAUGUGAGCAUUUUUUUAUUCACGGAUGAUACAAUUGCCAAUCAUGCAGUGGUAUGUAGAAUGCACUAUGGUCUGCCAUGAUUUCUUGCUAAAUAGUUAAUAAAGUGAUAUCGUCCUCUACCUUUUUCAAAAGGGCAGAAACCGGUUGAGCAAGUUUCCUCUCCUCUUCUAUUUUUACUUCCGUUCUUAUUUUUAAUCUCUUCAAGAAAAAUUUGAAAAAUCUAUCCUCUAUUCAUGAAUUUGUUUAUUUUGACAUUUUGCAGCUAAAAUCUAUCCUCUAUACUCGAAGGUAAACAGUAAAUUUUCCAAUAUCAUAAUUUUGUUUCUUACUAGAGUACAAUUGCUUGUUAUCUGCAAAGAAACCAAAAAAGAAUUGUUAGAGGAAUAGAAACAAUUGACAAUCCUAAAAAUUUUAGAUCAACACUUGCUAAAGAAGAUCUUAAUUAUUGAGAUAAUAUUUAUUUAGUUCAGAGAAAAAUCUAUAGAAAAUAUUAGGAUUCUCAAAAAAACCCUCGAAGUAUAUCAAUAACCUUUAGAUUAUCUAAGCAUAGGAUAAAAUAGUGAUUAAUCUCAAGGAGAUUUCACUAUAUUCGAAGAGAUUUCUCUUUAUUUGUUUUCUUAUCUUGAGUAGAUUUCCUUUCCUCGAGUAGAUUACUCUGAUAGAUUUACUGGUAUCAGAGCCUAGCCUUUAGCUGACGCUCAAAACGCUCAAAAGAAAUCACAAGAUGGGAACAUGAAUUGAACAAAUACUAAAAAAGCUUGAAUUUCUAGCACAACAAGUUGAUGCGAGGCAUCAAGAAUAUCUAGUAGAAAUGUCUAUACAUAUAGAAUAUCUAGAGAGAAUUCUAAAUAUAGUCAAUUAGUUGACUAAACUAGAAAGCAAAAUAGACUAUAUUCAAUCCCUCCUAGAAGAAAAAGAAUAACUAUUGGCAAAGAUCAAUAAUAAGAUAGAAGAGCUUAACCGGCAGCAGGUAAAAAUCUUAGAAUAUGUUUAAAAGAUGGUUAGAGAACAUAAAAGGCUAAAAAAUGAGAGUCAAUCUAAGAUAAAUAUCACAAAACUUCAUAGAUUCAAAACACUAAAAGUUCCUCAAGUAAAUUCUUCACCAAGAACUUUCCUUUUUGAACCAACAAUGAGUCUAAGAGUUUUUGGAUCCUCAGAACCUCCAAAGCAUAAAGAUAUAAGAGACAUGAAGAUGAUGAGCAUCUUUGGAAAGAAGAAAGGAGUAUAACUGCUACAGUCCGAAGAAUUUGAAUACAAUGAGAUAGAAAGUAAUGUCAGGAAUUCAGCAAUUCCGAAAUUCAAAUUAAACCAAAUUUAUGAAAGAGGAAAUUUUGAUUUGUUGGAUAGCCAUCAAUUCAAAAUUUUAGAGUUUACCACUCCAGCAACAAUAGGAGAAACAUAUCUACUCUUAGUAACUCUUGAAGAGGUGGCUAAAGCUCGAAAAAUAAAUUAUAAAUUUAUGCAUAUUGGAGCAGUCCAAGUAGACAUAAAACUACUUUUUAGAGAAUGAUUAAAUUGUUCAGUUCUAUGUGUUUUACAAGACAAUAGGCUGAUAGAUUUUCAGAAAAAUUUGCUAGGAACACUUCAAGCAUCUCUAUGCAAUCAAAUUGCAUUCUUCAACUGCUUCCCAAACUUUUCAACAAGCUGAUCGAAUGAUGCUGCUCAGUGUUUAAAGCUGAGAGUCAAAACAAAUGGCACAUUUAUGAAAAAAGGCAUGCAAGAGCUUGCUAUAGUUUAUAGGAUUUACUAUAAACUAAUGAGCACAAUGGUAGAGCCAAGAACCAAGCUAUCAAACAUCCAUGGCCUUACUACUGGAUUUCUCACAAAUCCAAAAAAUCAUUCAGAACAGAUUCAUAAGGUUGCUUGGGACGAAGUAACGGACGAAGUAACAUUUCCAUUAGUGGAAAUUAUCUAGCCUUAAAGAGAAGUCAGAAAGUGCGAGGGCGGCUAUCUAUGAAAAGAGGAGAACAUGAGACAUCAAUCUCAAGUUCGAAGAAAAUAGAAGGAGUGAUGCAACCCUUGAAAGUCUAAAAAGUGACAACUCCAAAUUACUUAGGAGAUGCAAUACUUCUAGAAAAGGAAGUACUUCUAGAAGUACCAAAAUUGUGAUAAAUGAAGAAUCUAUUCCAGGAGUGGAAGAGGAUUUAGAAGAACUUCAUAACGAAAUUAACAUGUGCUAAAGUCAGAAAAACUUUACGAGCUCUAUGAUGGGGCAGAAAACUACAAAGAUCCAACUCGUCUAGACCAACUAAUCGAAGAAAUAAAAAAUUUUAGUUUUGAAAAAAGAAAGGACAAAGAAAAGUCUUUUCCUACCAUGAUGUCAAAAUGGAAGAAGGAGAAAGCUUCUCAAGAUAUUCACAGACUACCAUUAUCAAAAUUGGUAGAGAUACAAAACUUUCUGAAAGAAAAAGGCUGGCAAGAAAAAAAGACGACAAAAACUCUCAAAGGUUUGUUGUAGAACUAAACAUACCAAAAAUGCCAAUAUCACAGCAUGAUAACUUGCACAACAUAUGGAAAGUUUGAGUCACAAGACCUAGAAACAGUCUAUCAAGCUACUCUUACAGGAAUGGCAAAAAAAAAUUAUCUUGCAUGGAAAGAAACCCAAGGGGGUAGAGCAUGGCUAGAAAGCAUAAAAGAUGACAAAUCUCCAACAGCCUUUGCUACACCAAUCUAUGAGCAAUUUUGUGGAGAUAUAUCAUUUAUUGGUAAUAAAGCUAGAGAAACAGCCAAAACCAACAUAUAUGCUUUCAAGAUAUGCAACAUGGCAUAUUUUAAAGGUACUUGAAUGAGUUUCAAGAUUACUACUGUACCAUAAGAGAUUUGGAGAAUAUAGAUUUGAUAUAUCUUCUAUAUAGCAAGCUCCCAGAGCCGUGGAGGACGCUGUAAAAGAAAGCAUAGACGUCAAACCUUUAGAACGACUCUUAGUUGGUGGAGUAGCAGAGAGAAUCAGAGAGUUGAUGUGGAAACAGUGUAAAGCGAACAUAAGAGCCAAAGCUGCCAAUAAAUAGCUCAAAGUAGGGCCGGGCAUAUAGCCCGAAACUAAAAAAAAAUCGGUUGAACCGAUCCGAACUGACCGGUGCGGGCUGGGCUUUUUUCCGGUGUCAAUUUCUUUUUUAAUGGGGCCGAUCCUUAUAUUUUCCGGUCCGGUCCUGGGCCGUUAAGCUAAUAAGUUUAUAAGGCCCGAAAGCCCGACGAAUAUGCAUAUUGGUGAUAAUAUAGAGAUAUAUGUGAAUUUGUACUGAUAUGUAUUCAAUACAGGUGUCAUCAACUAUCAUCACUCAUAAUUCAAUUAUACUCAUCAUCACUCAUCCGUCUCAUACUCAUUCUUUUCAAAAACAAAAAACAAAACCUCAUGUCUCAUUCCUCAUAAAAAAAAAAAAACAGAACUCAUCUGUCUCAUCCUAACGCCAACCUACCUCUUUUGCCACUGUUGGUGCAUCAAGGAUUACAAGAACAAGAAUACGUUUUUCCCAUCAUUCUUAGCAUCUCUGUGUCUCAAGUUUCGAAUGGGUAUGAGUUUCUCUUGACGAACUCCAAUUUUGUGUGUGUGUGUGUGUGGGAAAAGAAGAGAAUUUUGAAACCCAGAAAAAUCGAAUCCCUCUAUCAAAUCACAACACUUUCCCAAUUUUAUUCAAUCUCAAUUCAAAUUUCCAUGUAUAUUUGUCAAUCUCAAUUUGAAUUUUCAUGUUUCUCUCAAUUUCAAUUCAAUCCCUCACAACCAUAGAUCUUACCCAGUCAUACACGAUUCAAAAUGACUAUAGAUUUCCAAAUCUCCAACACUUGUUUCGGGUAGCUCUUUGUGAUUUUUAGAUCCUUAGUCCAUCAGGUAACUCGUCCUCGAAUCUGGAUAUGAUGGGUGAUUGAGCUCGUCGCACACGCUUCAUCGGAGCUAGAUGCGGCAAACUGGAAUAAAGCCCGAAAACGGGCAAGACCGGCCUGGUUAAUGCCGGUCCGGGCUUUUCCCAGUCCUGAGAAUAUUUUCGACAAAGACCGGCUCGAGUGUACAGUAGUCGGUCCGGGUUCGGGCUCUGAGAAUUAGUUGCCGGUCUGGGACCGUGCCCAGCCCUAGCUCAAAGGAGCUGAUAAUUUUUGUACUAAACUCCUAGAAGUACCAACCAAUUGGGGUUGUGAGGAAGAACACAAAAAGAAGAGAAAAGAAAAGAAAUUUCGCAAACGUUUCAGGGGAUCCAAUUUCAAGAAGAGUGCUAACUACAAAAGAGAGAAGCAUAACCCUAAAAAGAGAUUUUUCAAAAAAAAAAAAUACAUCACAUGGAAAAUCAACUUCUCAGGAGUUUGAAAAGAAGAAAGCAUGUAAAUGUUGGUUAUGCAAAGCAGAAGGACAUUAUGCCAAUGAAUGUCCUAAGAAGGAAAAGAGAACUUCAAAAGCUAUUUUUAAAGAAUAUGAAGAGGCCAUAGAGAUGACCAACAUGAAAGGAUUCGAGGUAGUUUACUCUGAGGAAGAAGACAACAUGUUUGUUUACUCAGCCUCGUCAGAAGAAGACUUUUCAGAAGAAUCUAAAUCAGAUUCAGAAGAAGAUUGUAACGCUAGAUAGGUUUACCUUCUCGAAGUCAAAAACUACGAAUAAAACACUACAGAAGAAAUAACUUCUUCUUAUAGUGUAAAACCGAGAACAUUCACCUGCGAUAUUUGUCUUUGUCUUUGUCUUGAAAAGGAUGGUCUUUCCAUAUCAUGUGAAAAGUCAAGAAAGACCUAUCACAAAGAAUGCUUCAUAGCUGAAGCAAGAAAGAAAACAAAGAAUAGUUCAAUAAGUCAACUUGUUGAACAAGAAUAUGAAGAUUACUUCUAUGAAAUAGAAGAAAAAAAACAAAUCUCGAGAACAGAGAUUCAAAGAAUUAAACUUGAAAGAAUACAAUUUGAUAAGACAUUACAGGAGGUAAUAUCAUUCGAUACAACUUCAGAAGAAGUAGUAUCUGUAGAUAAACAAGAGAGUACUUAAGAGACUGAUACUAAAGAGGUGACCAAUAUGACAAGAGAAAUGAUUUGCAAAGAAAAAAUGUGCAAUCCUUUUAUAGAGGUAAAAGAGGAUCUUCCACACCAAAACAUAUGUCAAGUAACGACAGUCUCGACAAGAAGAUUCAGUAACUACAUGGAAUUUGGAUUAAAAUUUUCAGGAUACAAGAAAUAUCAUCUAUAUGCAUUUGUAGAUACUGGAUCUGAAUUUAGCUUAGCAAAGAAGUUUGCUAUACCAGAAGAGUAUUGGACAACAGAUCCGGAAAAAAGUGUCAUUGGAAGAACCAUAGAGGGAAUAGGUCGCAGCAAAAUCAUGGUGACAUUUAUAAGCCAAAAUUUGAUGUGAUCUUACAAUAUAAACAAUAGGCUGUAAGAAGAAGUACUUACAAAAGAAUAAUCUUCAGAAGAAGAAGACGAAGAAGAGAUCAAUGAAGAAAUCAGUUUCGUUCAAGAACAUAAUCUCAAACAUUUUGAAACCAAGCUUGAGAAGCAGAAAAAGCAUACCCUUGGUGAGAUUAAGGAUAUACUAGAACAAAACUUUGAUAUAAACCCCUUGAAGUUUGUAUAGAUGAUACAUGACAUGUCACAUAAGAUUAAAGUCAUAAAUCUUAAGGCCGACAAUUUGGGCCAUGUCGAAACCAACCAACCGAGUACCAACCUAGUUGGUAUACCAGACUCGGUAACAGACUUACUUGGUACGGUAUACCGUAUUGGUCUUGGUAACAUGGUUGAUAUUUGGUAUUGAGAUUUUCGUACUAUCAGUGUACCGUACCAACCAUAUAUGUGUACUUAUACAAAAAUACACUCAUAUCUAUUUAGGAAACGAGAAUUGAACCUCCAACCUUUUACAAAAAACCGUUGCUCCCAACUACUGAAGCACAAUGCGCUUUCAUUAUGGUACAUGCAUAUUUUAUAUUUAUAACAUCCUACAUAUAUAAAUAAUACAAAAUGAAAAGAAUUCGUUGCGGAGAUGAGACUCGAACUUUAAACCUCCUGCAAACAACUCUCACUCCCAACCACUAAAGCACAAGACGUUAUUAUUAUAAUAUAUGUAUUGUUUUAUAUUUAUAACAUCCUAUAGAUAUAAAUACAAUUAAAAUAUAAAAUGUUUAAAUUUUGGCAAGAGGUAUGUUUCGAAACUAUGACUGCUCUGAUGGAAAAUAUGACAACAUACCACCAGACAAAAGCUAUCAUUAAUUGCAUUAUAUUUGUGCAAAAAUUAUAUUUAUCACUAAACUUGGUAGCUAGAGACCUAUUACCAACCGUACCAACCAAAUACCAACCGUAUCAACUAAGUCGGUAUACCAACUUCGGCGGUUGGUUUUAGUAGAGGAUUUUGCCUACCAAUCAUAAGUUGGUUGCUACAUGGUAUUGGUAAACAAAGUCGGUAUUCCUACCAAUGCUAGCCCUAAUAAAUCUUAGGCCCUAUUAAGGUCGUCUAGCACUACUCUUUUGUUAAUUGCAUUGAUAUUACCAAUGCAAAUGACUUAAUUCAAAUGCUUGAUGAUCUUUCCAUCGAUGGCCCUCAUAAGGCUUCUAAAGCUUCUUAUCACCCCAUGCAGUAGUUGCUUGUGCUGACUCCCCCCCCCCCCCUCCCUCAAAAAAAACUACAAGCUCCUAGCUGUUUGGCAAGACAGUGACACCUAUCAUAUGGAACCCCCUCCUUAUAAUCAAGAUCAAUUUUGAUGGCUCAGUUUAUCAGCAGAGCGCAUCAUUGUAACAAAAGUGACGACGGGACAUCCAUAAAGCAACAACUCGAUCUUAAGAACGGUCUGUUAAAAGCAAAAAUGAGCAUCAUUUCACCAAAGUUUGCAUUGAAGGAGACUCGUCCCUAGUCAUUAACUAGACACAUUCACCCAUGCACCAAUGGGAUGUGGAACNNNNNNNNNNNNNNNNNNNNGAGAGAGAGAGAGAGAAUGUGGUUUGUCUUUUCUGGUGCCAAAUUGUAAUUAACAAAAAACGUUAGUACGAAAAGAUAACUUUAAACCGACUAACUGGGACAUUAGUACGGAAAGGUAACUUUAAACUGACUAAGUGGUAGCCACGUUAUUAAUUAAAAGCAGGGAUAAAACCAUAAUUUCCGUAAACAUGAACAAUGAAGCUCCUCACUGGGAAAUAAUAUAUAUAUAGUAAAUUGUGUGACUAGACACCUCAGAAUCUCUUGGAGGCUGAUUCCGAUUAUCAACAAAAUUGCAAAUGCCUUAGCUUGCCAAAGUCACAAUUCUCAUUAUCACACCAUGCUAUCUUAGGAGACUGACCUUCUACCUAAUGUCGGUGUUGCUGUCAAUUUCAGCCUCUUUGGUAUUAGGUAUGUACCCUAACAGUAGAGCUAGGGUGAAAACUCAUAGUGAAACCAACGGCGUGUGGGAACGCGAUGACAAAAACCGUUGAACACUAAAACCCUCGAUUGUCUCUCCCCUCCCCCCCCCCCCCCUACGAACUCCUGGUGCUGCCCUGCCUCAAAAACCAUCCCGACCAAAAACCAAUUCCAGCCAGUCGACCCGAUUCAAAACUACCCAUCUCUGAAUUUUUCUUCUUUUUCGCCGUCAUAGUUGUUCAGGAUCCAAUUCCCUUAUCGCCGGUGAUGCUAAACCCAAUAUCGUCUCGUCGUUGCGGUCCAGCCGACCCUUUUUGAAAUGAUAGCCAGCGAGCCCAAAAUAGCCAACCUGAAACCCACCCAGAUCCACCAAAACGGCGUCGUGCGUUGCUGCCGAAGACCACCACCUAGAUUCAUAUCUUCAGUUUGGAUGACUAAAUUAAGAAAGAAGAUAAAUUUUGGUUGAACUAAUUUUGUUAGACAUGAGUAACAGAUGGGAAAAUUCUUUCUACGUCAAUGAAUUGAGGCUUUACCUCAGAUCACUCUGUCUCAAAGAAUUUCUGUGUUUUUGUUUUUUGUUUUUUGUUUUCCAAACCCCUCGUCAAAAUAUAGAGACUAAGGGCAUCUCCAAUAAGGGGUUUCAAACCUAUACCCAUAGUCAAAACCCAUAAUUUUUAAUCUCCAACCAUCAAACCCAUACCCAUAUAUGAGUUUCCUUCUAUCCAAUCGACCUAAAAUGAGUCGACCUCCAAGGAGGAAAAUCAUAUAUCUUGGCGCGGGACCCACGUCUUGCAAGUGCACAUGAAGGUAGGAGGAAGCAUUGAUUUAACGCGCCAGCCUUUGGGUUUCAUUCGUACGUGCGAAAAAUGAUAAAAUAAUGGGCUGGAAAGUGGGGACGCGCUGUACACGCGUUGGUUGCGUCAGACAAGCGGGUCUAGAUCAGAAUAACGGAUGGCUGAGAUUUGGUUUUGUUUAAAAUGGAAGGUCCAGAUUAGUUAAUUCAUUUCCAAAUAGAAUAAAUUCAUAUAUAAUUAGUGAAUUUCUAAUCUGUCGGUUUUAAAUAUUUGAUAGAUUAAAUUCGACGGCUAAUAAUUAAAAUAUCACAUUUUCAAAGGAAAUAACUUUGAAAAAUAGGGAAAAAAAUUGUUUUUAAUUUUAAUUAGCUCAGCAUAUUAUUUAAAAUUAUUAUAUAUGAUUUAAAUAAUAUAAUUAAUUUGUUGUUCAAUAAUUAUAUGAAAUGAUUAAAAUUUGGGUAUGGGUAUGGGGGGAGAGCUUCCAAUGAGGACCUUAUAAUGAUGACCAAGUGAGGACUUUCAAAUGAAUGGUUGGAUGAUAUGCACAUGGGAAUUAUAAAAUAUCAAUUAAAAGUCAAAAGCUUGAUUCAACCAUUCAUUUGAAAGUCCUCACUUGGUCAUCAUUAUAAGGUCCUCAUUAGAAGCUCUUCCUGGGUAUGAGUUUAUAUAAAUGGUUGAAGAUGAAAUAUGAGUUUAAAUAGGUUUAGAUGAGUCAAAAAAUGAGUUUGGCUAUAUAUGGGUUUUAGGUAAGAUUGUUGGAGAUGCCUUUAGAGGUUUGUCAAGUAGGAGUGAUUGACUCAAUAUGUGGCUGUGGUGCUGCUAUGUCAUCAGAUUAGUUAAAAGUGAACCUUCACUAUGUGGAGGGAAGAAUUUUUGCCUCUUUAUAGUUUUUUUCACUCGUUUUCCUAUAAAAGAAAUCAUUAUUACCCAAUUGUUGAGGUUCAAAUUAAAUAUAUUUUUUUUAACGAAUUACUUUAAUAAAUAAAACUCUAUCAACUAUAUACGAUUCCAUGCCAUGCAUCAGUACGUGAGCUGGCUGAUAUGAAUUAUUUUGCAGUGCAUCAGGAUGAUAAGGAUGAGGCUCGCUCUUUUCAUUAAUUGCUAACUUCAGACAUGUCGUCAAUGUAUUGCUGCUCCAUUGUUCACAGACUCGAAAUCUUGGAAAUGAAGUUCGACUCAAAAACAGAAAUUUUAGCUUCAUUUAUGUAAUGAUUAACACGAUUUGUGGCGUGAAAUAUGGAUCCAGUCUAAUUAACUAGUGCUAGCCUAGCUGCAUGCAUCAUCUGUUUCAGUACAUCUUCACGCUAUCAGUUUUGGUGUUCCAAUAAGAAGAAACAGAUAGGUUAACUGUCCGGCUUGAUGAACCAAUUAGGUAGCUAGGUCAAAAUAGUAUGCGUCAGAUUUCACUAUAUAUAUGCCAGAAAUCCAAGUAAUUGAUCUCAUAAUUUCAUCAACAAUAACCAUAGAACGAGAUUAUUUAUUUAGUAAACUGGUGGAUAUCGAUCAUCAACGAUAACCAUACUUGAUGACAUAUGUCUUGUAAUGUUGGCUACACAAUGCCUCUUAAACAUGAAGCAAGAUUCGAUCGCUUUCUAUAUAAAUGGCCACCACAAUAUGCGAAUUUACAGACUUACUGGUCAGUUUCAUCGACAUAGAUCGAGAACGAUAAGUUCAGAAUAGAAGUUAGGAGAGAGCUAGCUGGAGAUCAGUUUGAAACUUUGAAUCGAUCUAAAAUGACGAAAGGGUACCGGUUGGGAGGGAUUUCGACGGUUUUGGUUAUGUGGACUUUGGGUUUCUUUUAUGUAACUCUGUUAGUGGCGACGGAUUGGAGCUCCAUUUUUAUAGAAAUAGUUGUUCUAAUGCUGAGAUGAUUGUGAAGGAGCUAAUGAAACCGAUUAUACUCACCGAUCCCACCACUUCUGCUGCGCUUCUGAGAUUGGCCUUCCACGACUGCCAAGUUGAUGUACUCGAUCUCCUUCUGUCUCUCAUUUCAAUCUCGUUCAGUAGAACUUAGAAUCAUUAUUAGUUAAUUAUCUUUUUGUUUCUACUUUGCAGGGUUGUGAUGCUUCAGUUCUUCUCAGGGAAGCUGACGGCAGCUCAAGCAUGGAGACAGAAUCAGAUAAGAACUUUGGGAUACGAAAGCUAGAAACGAUCGAUAUGAUCAAAACUAGCCUUGAGCAACACUGUCCUCAAACUGUUUCCUGUGCUGAUAUAAUCCAGUUGGCCGCAAGGGAAGCUAUAUAUCUGGUAUAGUUCUUCAUAGAUAGGUACCAGAGAACAGUAAACUAGUUGUUCAUGCAUGCAGAACAAUUAAGCUAUGAUGUUAAAGCUUAACUAUUAUAUUAACUAAGUAGUCUAAGCUAAACCCUAAUUUCUCAAUAUACUCUGGGUUCUAAUGGUUGUCUAAGACACAUUAUGAUUCUGUUUCAUACUUAAUACCCUAUAAUCUGUUUGCUUCAAUAUUUUGUUUGCGAAUUGCAGACAGGAGGACCAUACAUUGAAAUCUUGACUGGAAGACGAGACUCUUACUCCGGAAGCCGGGAACUCGAAAGAGCUGAUAUAUAACCAACUCCCAUUGGCCAGUAUAUCUAUUGAUGACUGUAUUCAGAUUUUUAGGCAGAAGAACAUUAGUUUGGAACAAGGAGUUGCACGUACUCUUAGGUAUAGAGCUUUACUUUGCCUCUCAUAAAAUUAACAUGCAUUCAUUUAAGCCUUUAUUUACUUGAUCGACUAGUAAUUUGUUUGCUUAUAUAUGUAGGAGCUCAUACUCUAGGAAUAACCCACUGCCGGAACAUCAAUGAAAGGCUUAGGCCAGCAAGUGAUCCAACGUUGUCACUAACCUACUCAUUGCCGCUACAAACUAUUUGUAGCAAUGCUUUACUCUCCGAUACAACAUUUUCUGCAAAUGAUGCCACACCAGUCACAUUUGACAACCACUAUUUCAAUGACAUCGAAAAUGGAAGAGGGCUGCUCAAGAUUGACUCUGAGAUUGCUAGAGACCCGAGAACGAUGCCUUUUGUGAUUCAGUAUGGGAGAGACAUGAAGUUGUUUUUUGAUACAUUUUCCUCUGCCUUUUUGAAGCACUCAAGCUUGAACGUCUUAGUUGGAGAAGAUGGAGAGGUCAGGAGGGAUUGCAAAUAUAGAAACAGCUAGCUAGCUUCAAAACAUUUAGUUAUUUUGGGAUGAUCGCUAGCUGUACGUGUACGGCAUUUUCUAUAUAUUCAAAGACACCUUAUUGUAGGGGACAUCCGGGAUAUGAUGUACGUCAACAUUUCUAGCUAAUUGUUGGCGAAAUUAUUUGCUACUUCAUAUUGAAAAAUCUCUUUCCAGUUUUCGCUGUUCACUUUUAGAUCGAAAAAGGAAAACAUGAUCACUUCGUGAGUAAUUCUGAUUUCAAAUGAUCAUUUGUUAAUAUAUAGAGUCAAAUCGAUCACUUGAUCAAAUAUUGGCCGGAGACAAGCUAUGGUACUGAAAUGUAUAUCCUAUUUUUAUUUUACAUAUACUUGAACAAAAAUUACAAUGUUAUAAAUCAAAUUACAACAUUGAGAACAAAUUUACCAAAUUUAUUUACACUAUUUACAUGAAGUUAAACAAAAUUACAACUAUGAGAAUAGUUUGUUUAAAAAGUUAUAAAAUGGUUAUACAUUUUAUAAUUACAAUUAUUAGAACAAGAUUAGAAACAAUACGACUUAGCGUUAGCACUUUGACUACAAAUAUAUUAUCACAUUUGUAAAUAUAGGUAUCACAUACGAGUAGGUACCAUAAAAUUUCCUCAAAUAUUGUACAUUGAUUACAAAAACCAAUUAACUAUUUGCACCAUACCAAAAACAUCUCAUCGAUCAAAGAGGUGAAAAUUGUGAAGAUAAUAUUAGAAGAAGUAUAAAUUAUAAAACCAAUAGAUCGAAGAACUACAAAUAUAAUGUUUAAUUUCUGGUGUUUUGAAUAUCAACGAGGAUAGGGUUAUCCAGCUUACACUCCACAUGGCAUCUUAUAAGUGAAGCCCAAUAUCCUCCUAAUAGAAUCCACCAUACAGGUGUCAAGCUAAGAUCCAUGCAAAAGAUCAAAUCCACCAUACUGAAACAGAAAACAAAACUAUUACUUAGUCAGAUAGAGUGAGUCGACCUCGAAUUCGAUAAACACCAUGGCAUCUUUGGCAACCUUGGCAGCUGUUCAACCGGCCACCAUCAACGGCCUUGGAGGAAGCUCCCUCUCUAGGACUAAGCUCGUCAUCAAGCCCACUCGCCAGACCCUCAGACCCAGAAAUGUCAGGUACUGUAAAUUACUACGUUUGUAUUUCCAUGCUGUCAUUGCCAUGCUGAUGAAGAACGAAGCUUUACUUUUCUUCUGUGUUUGAGCUUAUUUGUUAUGUGCUGUUGUGUAGGAGUGGUGCUGUGGUGGCCAAGUAUGGUGACAAAAGUGUCUACUUUGACCUUGAGGACCUGGGCAACACCACUGGAAAAUGGGACUUGUACGGCUCAGAUGCACCCUCACCUUACAACCCUCUUCAGGUUUUCUUUCUCUUCACUCUCUUAUUAGGGUUUUAGAAUCAUUGCAUUAUUUGCAUAACAUAUGUGAAAGAGAAAGAACCAAAAUCAUGAAAAAAUUAAAAAAAUAAAAAAAUAAUGCUUUCAUUGAGAGUUGAACUCAAGACCUCCCGCUUACUAAACGGGUGCUCUAACCAACUGAGCUAUGAAAGCUUUUGUUAGUAGCGCCGGAUUUUAUUUACUUAUUGAUCUCACAUUUAAGAUGUCUGGGUUGAUCAAGUGCUUACCGUAGAAAUUUCAUAUUAGUUUUGGGUAUGUUAUUAGACCAAGAUUCAUCGUAUAUUCCUUUGUAGUAUUUAGCCAAUUAAAAGGCUAUGAAAUUGUAGAAAUGCUAACAUAUAUAUGCAUAUGUAGACUGAAGCUUCAAUUAUUACAAGUUACUAGACAUUGGUUUAGUUUAACUUAAUUGUAAACCAUAUGCGACUGCAGAGCAAGUUCUUUGAGACAUUUGCUGCUCCAUUCACCAAGAGAGGUCUGCUGCUCAAGUUCUUGAUCUUGGGAGGGGCUUCCACCAUUGCUUACCUUAGUGCCACUGCCCCAGAUGAUCUUCUACCCAUCAAGAAGGGCCCACAACUUCCCCCAAAGUUGGGACCACGUGGCAAGAUCUGAUUUUACUUCUCUGGGAUUCUCAUCUUAAUUUGAAACAUUUUCAGUGUAUGUAAUGUAAUUUCUUAUUCUCUACUUUUGUACUUGUAAAGUUUGUCUGAUGUGGGAUUAAGACCCUUAAUUGAUUAUCAAGGAUAUCCUUUCCUGUGCAAUCUAGGGAACUCUUUCUGUUCUGCUAUUAGAUUAUUGAUUGACUAUGAUUCUUUAAGGUCAUUUGAUACCAGAUCUAAGGUGUUGGGAUUUUAACCCCACGAACGAACCGAGAUUCAGAAACAGACACACCCAACAACACUGUAAUAAAGCAGAAUAACAAACAGGAAUAAAAAAAACAGUUGACACGAGAUUUAACGUGGUUCGGCAAAUUUCCUGCCUACGUCCACCCCAAGAUAUAGCUCUUCCACUAUAAGAAUAAAACUAGUACAAGAUACAUGAGUUAAAUCUCAUGACCCAAAUCCCAAACCCUUGUACACCCUCACUCAUAGAAUACCCAAGAACACUAUAUCUCACCUAAGAAUUUCCCUCUUAGCACUUUUUUCUCUCUCACUCUCAUGCACAACCCACAAGCUCUCUAUUGCUUGUCUGAUGCUUACUUGAUGCAAACUUGCUUGCAUGCUUCAAAUGGUUUCCAUGCAGCCAAUUUAUAGGCAACAUCCAUUCAUGUGAAAAAGGCCUUUAUCUUCCCUCCUAUUACAAAAGCGGGAGCACACCAUUGAAGACUACCUCUUCACCUUCAAUUUCUACAAACAUCAUAGCUACAUAUCAUAGCUAGCUAUUCACCAAGUCAAUAUUUGUUGCAUCACCUUUUGCAUGGUUUCUAGUUGCAUGAGAAUGAACACCAAUCUCAACAUAAGUUUCUUGAUCAAUGAAGGAAGAAUUUAUCAUCAGAAUAUUUUGCACUCUCUCAUAGAAUUUGGAGCAGAAUGCCCCUGCUGGGGACCAAGUAGUCUUCAAAACUAUAAUUCAUUCAGGCUAAAAAGCCAUUUCUCUACAGAUCAAAGCAUAUGCAAAAUGCUUGACAUACACCCCCAUUGGAUUAUCUCAUUCGUUCCUAUUUACAAAAGGAAGGAACAGAAUGAAAGUAGGCAAGUAAUCAUAGCUCAAAAAAUGAACAAACAGGUAUGAGUUUUACAUUUAGAGGCCAGGAAUGUUGGCUCUUUUAUGUUUUUCCAUAUCUGUUGUUUGCUCUUGAAUGGUUUUGGUUCUUUCUCCUUUCAUCAAUUCCUAUAAGUUCUGUUAGUGGCGUGCCGUUGGACUUCUCAUUCCACCCAAUGUGUCUAGAUAUGACAUCUUCUUGUUGGUCACAAUGUUGGCUAGUUUCUGUAUAUGUGGAUGCUUGACAUCAUUUUCAUCUGCUGCAGCCUCCUGUCCCUUCUUUGCCUCACUAUCACCUUGAUCACAUCCCCAACCCAUGAAAUCCGAUAGUGUCAUUGACGAGGGUGUCUCUGUUCCCCCAUUAUCAUCUUUAUGCAUGGACCUAUCCGGAGAAGUUGAAGGUGAUGAGGGAGUUGUUUCUCCUAAACUGUUCUUUUUACUUGCUGCUGACGGAUUCUGCACACAAUAAUCUGCAUAGAGUACAUCUUCAAUUCGAGACAACACAGUGAAGGCCAAGCUCUCUAGGAUUCUUGAAUAGCUUUCGAGAAUAGCCUGCCCGACAUCCUAUGAAGCCAAGAAAUAAUCUUUGUUAUAGGUUUAUAAGCAUAACCAAGUAUCACAUGGGUAAUCUAAUUGACUACAAACAUGUCAAGAAGUCAAAGAAGUUCUUACUCCAUUGUAUUGAAUUUUACUUAUGUCCAAUGAAGAUUGAGGGAUCCCAGGGAACCUCUGCUUGAGAAGGAGUAAGAUGGUCUCUGCUCUCUCUUCAAAGAGCUCUCUCUUUUCCAAACUCACAGCUGAGCCCCAGCCAGAUUUUCCAUCUUUUUGGUUCAUCUUUCUCUUCCAUAUGACCAUGGAAGCCUCCAUUUUGUUUUUUAAGUCUAGAAUUUUGUGGUCAGAGGACAAGUCCAUGGCACAAAGAAAUUGGUCCGGAUCAAAGAAUUCGACUGUAAUACUCCUAUAGAUUUGGUCACCAAGACUUGCCCUCCCAUUCUACAUAAACCAAACAAACCAAAACAAAUUCAAUAGAGAACCUAUCAAGGGUCUAGAACUGCAUAUUGUAGCAUUCUAAAGAGACUAGUUCUACUUCCCUCUUUCUUUACCUUGGGAAGGGCUUCAAUGUAGUUUUCUGGAAUCUCCAUUUCUGUUAAAACUUGAGCAUUUAUGGCCAUGGCUGCUUUAAGCACUUGGUUGACACAAUCUUUUUGAUACUGCAAGAAUUUUCUUGCCACUUCUGAUAGACCAUCUGGUGGAACUUUUGGAGUUGGUAGCCACCAUUUGUCAUUUCUCUUUCCACUCCCUUUCUCCUUCUCAUCAGCAUCUUUAGAUACAUAGAAGAAUUCCUGAUCGCCUUCGAAGUUAUCUAGACAAUCCUGAUUAUGGUAAGCUUCUGUUAGAGAAAUAUUAUCCAUGGUAGAUUAACCACAUAUUUACAUUGACCACAGGGCAUUAAAGGACAUACAAUAAGCAUUGCAUCAAGCUUUUUCAGGGCAGGAAUGUUCAUGAGGAGAUCUGUCCGUUGCCGGGUCACCAUUAUCUAUCAAGUCAAAAAUCACAGUCUCUUAUCAAUAUGAUGUGAGAUGUGUUGCACAAUGUACGCGUUAGAAGAGAUUAGAUUGUACCUCCAUAUUGGAUCCAUCCUUAUUCUUCUGUUGUGAAGCAACAAACUCAACAAUGUAAUCGGUGACACAUAGCAACCAAUCUAUUUCUUUUCUCCAUCUUGCUUUCCUGUCCGGAGACAUAGGCUCUAAGCGAGUUUGCUCUCCAAAAACAGAAGCUGAAUUGCAGAUGGAACAGAAAUUUACAUGAGGGAUAAUGAAUCAGAAACAUGUAUUUGGUCAUUCCAAUAGAAAAAAAACGAACAGUAUUAUAUGGCAAAAUGCUACCAUCUGAGUUCCUUAUUUCAUUCACAGGACUCUUAAGAUUCACAUUAAAACUAUUUGUACCACAUUUACAUACCGGCCAGGUUUGUAAUGGCAUUGGACAAUGCCAAAGCUGAAGAAACACCCUUUCCUCCGCCGGACAUAUCUUCACCCAAAAGCAAUUUAGCAAACCUCUCCUUCAUCUGUUCUAUAUCUGAAUCAAAAUCCAAACACCGAAUCACAUAAAAACUCGACCAUAUACAAACCAUUUGAUCUCAGCUAGGCAUUACAUGAAACAUCAUGCUUGCAUUGCAACAGUUCAUCAUCAACUCACCAGAUUGCUGCUGCUUUUCUUUGGCUUCUUUGGCAGCCGCGGUGGCUUCCUCCAUGGUCAGCCUUGACUUGAGGCCUCUAGGGUUGGACUGAGUAGGCGUCUGAGUUUCAUCCCCACCAUCGUCAUCCUGAAACUCUAAUGCUCUUGAAGCCUCAAGGCUCAAGCUCUUGGUAUGCCUGCCUGCGGUCUCAUGCAUCUCCCUGAGAUGGUGCAACCUGGUCUUGUGAUUCUCUGGAUUGUCCUCAAUAGCCCGAACCAUUUUCAGCCUUUUGAGAAAGACCUUUAUAGAAUGGACAAGGGAGAACAAGGCAUGAGUGCUGUUCAACCUAUUGGGAUGGGCGGAUGGAGACGGAUCAAUUUUGUCGGCUAAGCUGGAACUCUCUCUGAAGUUUUUCUUGCGUGACAAGGUAAAGAGAGGGGAAGGGUAAAAUGAUUGAGAAGUUUCCCAAUGAUCAGGAAAAAGGGUCGUUGUUGUUCUUGUUAUUGUUGGAAUGGAUGUGGGUAGUCGAUGAUCAUUUUCUCGUUUGAUUUUUUCUGAAAAAAUUAGGGAAAGAUGUGUGUUCUUUGGGUUUUGGGGGGAUUAGGUUUUCUUUUUUUGAUGUCGGAUCAGAACGUGGGGUGCAUGUUGGAUAUUUUUUGAUGUUGUGGGGGUUUUUGGAUGGUGGAGGUUUUGAAAUGAGCUUGAAUCCCGGAAAGACAGAGGUGCAAAUUUCUAAAUUUCCAGCCCUCUCUCGCCGAACUGGACGGUUCUGAUAGGUCAAUACCAGUUCCUCCUUUGGAAGUCAUUUCUUUAUAUAUGAGGAGCCAGAGAAAUAGACAGAGAUCUAGAAAAAGAGAGUGAUUUUCUCUUAUGAUUUUUUGGUCAAGGAAAGAUGGAGAAUUUAGUUCAUCACUAGCUACUUACCCGACAACUUCAUGAUGGAACUCUCCAAGGUCUGGUACGUCAUAGGUUGAGUAGGUUCUGCCUGCUUAUACCACAUAGUCAUUUGGUUUUGAGAGUCGAUCAAUUCAUGAGCAUCCCCAGGACAUGAUAGACACUACCAACCAUUUGGUUUUGAGAGUUUAAUUCAAUGGGUGUUGAUGUUGUGCCGCACUGUAUGACAUGCCUCACAAAUUUGAUCCGUCCAUUACUCAUCUACUAUUUAUUCAAGUAAAUUAAUUUUAUUUUACUUUAAAUGGACAGUAAUAUCCUUAUGUUGUUUUGUCUUUUUCUACCUACUACAAACAAACAACUUAAAAUGAAGAUUUUGGUACUGCUCCAGCUCCUUCUACUCCAAUAGGUGAUAAUAAUCUCCUCAAGAUGCUUAGUAAUCUCCUCAAAAUGCUCAUCUGCUCUGUUCUUUGUUUAUUCACUCACCGAUUUUCAUCUUUUCAUCCUUCCAUCAUGUUCAAAAUGUUGUGAGCCUCUUCCUCAUUCAGAUUUUCCCAAUAGUCAUUAUCUGUUUCAUCUGCUUCCAUGGCUACCAACACCUCCAAGCCUUCUCUAUGAAGCUGCUUAUAAACCUCUUUGGUAGUCUUGCAUUUCCUGACAUUUGAUUCUGGUUGCGGCUUAAUCGGUGCUUGCUAUAGAGCUUGACAUAUUUGUCUUGAUAAUGCAGAUUGAGAUGGCUAUCAUUCUAAAUCUCAUGGUGCACUAUUUGGGUUCCUCUAUAUUUCUGGAUGUCUUCUAUUGUAGGGUUGCUCUCUAGUAUUGGCCCUGCUUCUAGUAUAGUAUAAUCUCCUUUUAUGAUAGUGAUGUUAUGUUUUGUUUGAUCUGGAUAAAUGCUACUAGAGAAUAAUACUAAAGGAAUACUAUUUACUUCUAAGACAUUGCUCUCAUUUCCUCUUAGAUGUUGAACACAUUGCAAAAUAAUGCUCUUAAGCUCAUUUGGAAAAGAAUAAAUAUGAUAAUUAAUCCUGCUGAAAAUAUAUUUUGGUUAGAAAUUCAUGCUCUAUAGUAACACAGGUGUUAGCUGGAUUGUUUGAUUAUCAUGCUCAAAGUGCAAAGUCCUAUGCUCCAUCAUAUUUAUGUUUGCUCCCAAGAUUUUAUAAUUAAUAGCUUCAUUAGGAUGACAAUGUAGUGCUUCGCUAUGAACAUCGAAUCCUGGUGCAAGAUUCUUUAAUAAAUGAAAAAUGAAUUGUUGUAUAGCCUGCUGCAGAUUAUAAAGUUUCCUUUGCUCGUGCUGACAGAAAAUUGCUUUAACAUCUGGAUUUAACAUUUGGAUGCUGCCUAAAAUUAUCUCGCAUUAAAACUUGCAGAGUAUACAUGUUCACAAGCUCAUUAAAAUUAACAGGCCAAUUUAUAUAAUCAUUCAUGUAGUCAUCCCAAAGAUUUUUUGUCAAGACCCACCCCGAAUUUCACCCUGAAACCCGAAGUAAAUCCUGCGGGGACCACCUCCAAGGAAAAUUUACCGAAAAUUCGGCAUAACCUUCCUUGAAAAUGGACAACCCUUCCUAAAAAAAACACCUGCAAGCACUUCUAAAAGUUCCAACUCCAACCUUAACUCCUGGAGCCUUCGUGCUCCCCACAAAUCACAACAUCUCCCAAUAUAGAUUCACUAAUCUAACAAAGAUCCUAUAACCAACAACCACAUAUUCAGAGCAACUCUACUUAAGAGGAGAGGAACUAGAAAUAAAUAGAAAUGAGCGGAAGCUAUACUAUUGACUAUGCCUCUUCUCCAUGUACGCUCGGUCUCACUAUGCUAACCUGCAACUGGGCAUUUAUAAAACGAAGAGCCAAGAGGAAAACAUUUGAAACCGUUAGAGUGAGUGGACAAAAAUAAAUUUAAAAAGAAAUAAAUCUUUAUGCUUUCCCGAUUUAACUUAUGUGGAAAAAUACAAUUAACAGCAUGCAACAAGCUCAAAAGCUUUUAAAAAUUUACCGAAUUUACCGAAACGUGACUAGCCGCGCUAGUCACCAACACUUCAUAAAAAUAGAGCCUCUCAGGCUAAAAUAAAAUAUGUAUGUAUUACACUCGUCAUAUCCCUUGUAUGAAUUUUCUUGAAAUAACAAAGACAAAUAGAAAAUUCACACAAGGCUACGACGCUUGCGUCUAACGCUCGCGUCGCACCAUAAUGGCAUUUUACCUCAUUAUGGUGGAAAAGACGGUGUAUAAAUAUAUAUACGCGCAUAUCCCCUAUAUAAAUUAUUAUAUUUAUAUAGGGCUACGACGAUUGCGUCUAACGCUCACAUCGCACCAUAAUGGAAUUUGACCUCAGUAUGGUGGAAAAGCACGUAUAGCUAGCUAGCAUUUCUUCAUAUACAUAUUAUUCUCAUAAUCAUCCAAAUAUGGAUAUAUAUAUACAUACUCACCGAAAAUCUCAUUUUCGGUAACUCUUCAAAAAUAAUAAAAAUUGCCAAUUGCAAAAGAAGCAAUAACUAUAUGGCUACACCGAAAAUCUCAUUUCCGGUAACUUUCCAAAUAGCGAAGUUAACAAAAAUAAAAUAAGAGCAUUUACUUUCAAAAAUAACUUCGCGAAAAUAAACAAUUCCAUAAAUUGAUAUUCAAUAAAAUCUUUCAUUUAAAAUGAAAUCACCGCAUGCUUAUAAUUUAAAACGAACGUCCACUCACAACUUUAGGCCUAAGCCUGACGUCAAUCCGAGGUCUCUCCAAUUCGAGCCUCCUCACGUCCUGUUCCAAAUAUAUAAUUAAUUUCCCACUAAAAAUCCAAUAAUUAAACAAAAUGGGCAAAAUUAAACGUGAGCCUCCCACACACUCAUUAUUGCCCAACUUCGCCAUUCUUAACUCAAAAUGGCUCAAACUUCACCGAACAUACCGGCAGCCCUAAUUACAACUUCCCCCAGAAAAUGACUUAAAUCCUACGGCCGGAUUUUACAUUAUUCAACCACCAAAAAAUACCACACUUCAGAAAUUCAUAACCCUAUCCAAAACUCAUCCAAAAAUUCCAUAAUUCACUUCAAUAAACACCCCUUAAUAAUCCAAAUUUAAAAACAUUAAAAUCUCCCAACCGGCGACGGCGCCGGUGCCAGCUCCGCCGGUAGCGGUGGCUAGAGGCCGAUUCCGGCGACCUCCAAUGCCCACCAAAUUUUAACAGCAGCUUCUUCUCCACUCCCUCUACAACUUUCCUAACUAGCACAACCACAAAAUUCAAGCCUAGCUAGGGUAAUCGAACACAAACACCUAAAAAGCCCUAGGAUUUCAACUUCGAAUUUCUCUUUACCUUGCUCAAGAAGGAGUGAGCCUUUUGGAGGGAUUGAUGCACGGGAGGAGAGCUUCACAACGAGCCAAGACUCGCCGGCUAUGGCGGCCGGAGGAGGGAGCUCCGGCGAAUGGAGCAACUGGCUGCUAAGGGAGUUUCCUCCCCAUUCGGCGGCGUAACCGGCCUGGUCACCAGCCCAGGCGAGGAGAGGAGGCGGCGGCAGUCCGAACGGGACCGGUGCGGCGACCUGGCUUGGCCGGACGGCGUCGGCGGGCGGAGGAUUCCGACAGAGGAGGAGAGAGCUCGGGAGGGGAAGGAAAAGAAAAGAGAGAAGAAGAAAAAGAGGAGAAGAAGAGCAGAAAAGAGGAAAUAAAAAUGGGGUUUGGGCCUCACUCACCAACGCGGCCCAACACCACAAAUAUUACCCAACUCCACCAAUUUAACACCCCAAAACAAAUACCCUAAUAAAAAUUUUCUUUUACUAGCUAAAAUUUACCAAUUUUUACCGUCGUCAUAAUUUUCUCUUACGAAUAAUUGUCCCUUAAAACCCCUCUAAGGACUAAUUAAAACUAUAAACUCAUUGACGGAGACGGUAAAAUUCUUAUUAUAACCAAGCUAGUAAAUAAGGUAAAAAUUUAAGGGUCGGGAUGUGACAUUUUUUGCUACUUCUGAUCUAUUAUCUUUCACUACUUUUCCUUUCAACAUUAGUUAUUCCAUAGAUAUUGACCUAUUUUUCUUGUUUUUCUACUAAUUUAUUGUAUGUUCCUAACAAAGAAUUAUGCUCUGUAGACAGACAAUCUUAAACAAAAAGGUGGAUGAAGAUUACAUAAACACAUGCUCGAGUAGAUAUGUAUAUAGUUGAUGAGAUAUGUAUAUACAGUCAAGGGAACCUGUUUAUGGUUGAAGAGAUAUGAGAGGAGAUAUGAACAUAUGCAUGAGAAAAUCUAACAGAGAGUUGUUGUGAACUGAGAAAGUUUUAUUGAUACUGGAAAUGUUACAACCUGAGACUACAAACUAAGAGAUGAAGUUUAUAAGAGAGUGAGAGUGACAGGACCCACCCCGAAUUUCACCCUGAAACCCAAGGUAAAUCUUGCGGCAUAACCUUUCUUGAAAAUGGACAACCCUUACAUGAAAAAUCCAACUUAACACUUCUAUAACCUAACAAACCAGCCUCAACACCUGGAGCCUUCCUGCUCCCCAAGAUCGACACAUCUCCCAAUAUAACAAUUACUCAACUCUAAUAAUCCCACAACCAAGAAUAAGGACUAUUAAUAAUUUACUAUUGGACUUUCAGAACAUAUCUAAAGUUGAACGAAAAACAACGAAUAAAGAAUAUGCGGAAGCAGCCUCUGACUAUGCCUCAACUCCAUGUACGCUCGACCUCCUUUAAAACUUAGCCUGCACACUGGGCAUUUGAAACCGAAGAGCCCAGGAAAAAGUAAUAUAAAAACGUUAGAGUGAGUGGACGAAAAAUUAAACAAAUAACUGAUCGCAACAUAACUAACCAAACUUAAUUACUUUCCCAUUUUCCAAUAAUCAAGAAAUCUGUUGCAUGCAAGUGUUGGUAAAACUUUCAUAAAGAAAAUUCCAAGGAAACGGACUAGCCUCGCUAGUCAAAUAUUGAAAAAGAUAAAUAACAACCUUUAUUGAAGAAAAUACCAAAAUAAUGGACUAGCCCCGCUAGACAAAACAACAAUAAACAAUAAACAGAUAUAGCCAUACAAGUGAGCCUCCCAGACAUGGUUGCCUCCCAGGCAAAGUACUCCCAUACUCCCUAUACCUUCAUGUUAUGAUAACAGAGAGGGUGUAGGGCUUGCGUGAUGUCGUCGACUACAUCACAUCACCCGAAGGCGGAAAGGGCUUGAGUAACCCCACUUAAAACGUGGAAGGUACAUCGCCUCGAAAGACGGAACAACAUGCUAGCAUGAAUAAUAACGAUCCAACAAGUAUGGCAUAAAUAAAGAAACAUAAAUCCAUGUGAGUUUCCCCGAAACUCAUAAUUAAAGCAUAAUACGAUUCCCAACCGUACUCAAAGAAUUCAAAAAGUAAAGAAAAUAAUUAAAUUCGAUGACGUGUCCCACACGUUAAAAUGCUCAAUGAAAUAAUUAAUUUAAAUAAUUUUCACCUUUCGAAAACCCGGCAAUAUGCAAAUUUGGAUAUAAUCUCAAAUCCGGAAAUCAUAAAGUAAAUCCAAACUCAAAUCUCAAAUUAUCAAUCUGAGCUCAAAUCCAUAAAUUAUGACCAACAUUUAAUCCAUGCAUCAAUCUCAAAUAAUUUCCAAGAUCAUUUCAUAUGCCGAAGUUAUAAUAUAUGCUCGGAAAAUAAAAUAUUAAUUUAUAAAAUCUUGCAUGCAUAUUAAUUAAAAACCAAAAUGUCCACUCACAGAUUUAGGCCUAAGCCUGACGAAUUCCGAAUCACCACUCAAGCGUGGUCUCCUCGAAUCCUGGCACAACAACCAUGUUUAGGACUAAACUUCAAUUCCGGAAAAUAAUUACGUGAAUAAAAAUAUCUAACUCUCUUCCGUUUAACCCACUACUCUUAUUAGGGUUAAACUCACCGGAUUCACAUCAAACUCCACCACAACCUCAAAUCAUCAAUUCUAACAUUCCAGGCUAAAUACCAAGGAAAUUUAACGGCCGGAUUUUCAUUCUAAUAACCGGCAAAAUCCUUAAUCUUUUAAAAAUCCCAAACCUUAUCAAAACUCCUCCAAAAAUUCCAAACUAUAUUUCAUUAAACUCCUCUCAUUAUAACAAACCUGAAAAUCAACCUCCAAGUGGCGGCGCCGCCGCCUGCCCCGACGUCGACCAAUGCCUCCCAAAUUUUAACAGAAUAAUCCUCUCAUCAUGCACAACAACUUCCAUAACUAGCACUUAGUCCAAUUCUAAGCCUAACUAGGGUAAUCGAAUCAAAACAUCUAAAAAUCCCCCAAUUCAAACCCUAGCUCGAAAAUCCUCCUACACACUUCGAAUUGGAUCAUUACCUUCUAGGGAAAUGUUACACAUGGAGAGCACUUCCCAAUGGAACUGAAAUCACUGGAAAUGGUGGCCGGAGGAGCGAGUUCCGACGUCGGGACUCCACCACGCAGCCGGAGCUUCCGGGCGAGCUCUCUCCCUCACGGUGGCGCUAGGGCAGCUCUCACCGGUCCAGGAAGAAGGCUAGGUCGACGGCCGACCGUUUGGGACAGUGCGCCGGUCUAUGGUGGCCGGACGGCGGUUAUCGGAGCCGAGGAAUCCGGUCAGGGUAGGCUCGGGAGAGAGAGAGAGAGAGAGAGAGAGAGAGAGAGAGAGAGAGAGAGAGAGAGAGAGAGAGAGAGAGAANNNNNNNNNNNNNNNNNNNNGAGAGAGAGAGAGAGAAAAUGAGUUGGGCCUUUUGAGCCCAUUUUUGACCCGGUCCACCAUUUAAAAUCCCACUCCAACAAUAAAACACCUCCAAAAAUAAUACCUACUAAAACAAUUAACCUCUCUUAAUUUACCAAACAAGGUCUACUCUUUUUAUCUAAUAACUUUUUUAUGCUAACUCCGAUUUCAACGUUUAGCAUGUCUACGAACUCGUAUUAACGUCCUCUACAACUUUCAUGAAGAAAGUUUUCCCAAAUUCCAAACGAAAGAAAAAGUCAACUUUUAGAGUCUUAAAUAGUAAACGGUUACUUAAAACAGUAAAAGGUCAAAGUAACCCAAAAGUAAAUAACCGCAAAUUGACUUAAGAACCGGGAUGUGACAGACAGGUACUGAGAUUUUUUCUUCUCUAAGCGUAAUAUCUCUUCUCUUCACUUUGCUUCUAAUACUAGAUGAAGCUGAGUUUUCAAAUUCCACUGCGUAUAUGUACGUGGAUGCAGCAUGCAAUCUCAUGCAAACUCUCAUGCUUAGUGAAACGAUUCUCAUGCUCAGGUACAAACUCUCACAAUGAUAUUAAAAUCCUUACAAACUCUUAUGUAGAAGAGACGAAGUCCUUGGUCAACACGUCUUUUUCGUCACUUGGAGACUCACACAACUACCUCCUUUUACCCCAUUAUGCACUAACCAGUUUGUAUGUUAUACCGACUUGUAUAGCAGAACUAUCUUAAUCCAAUAUAUGAGCAUUUCAUUAGCAAACUAUAGUGUACUACUUUCAAGGCUAGCGUUGGUUUGGUGGGAUUUGUCCCUCUUAUUAUAUUGUGUAGGUAUAUGGUAGAGAGAGAAAAAGUUUGCAAUAUUCAAGCACAAAGAUUUCUUGGUCAAACUUGGAGAAGCAAAGCCUGGGGCAUAACUACUGAUUUACAAAAGUAAAACUGAUCUUAAAUCACACAAGGAAAUCUGCAUUUCAUGCAUAUCAUAUCUUUGUAUUUCUUAAAAUAAAUCUUCUUCUUCAUAAGGAGUUAUAUUUUGAACUUAAAGAAAAUUUUGUCAUUAGAACUCAAGUAAAGAGUACAAUACGAAUCGAUUUGUUGCCAUGCGUACAGAGGACAAGCAAGAUCAUUUGAUUCAUGUGAGGGUUGUAUCCUCAUUAAAAAUUUCGGCUCACAAGGAGCCUAUAAUCUAAUAGCGAAUAUAUCAUAGGAAAAUGUUUCUAACUAAACUAGAGCAAGAAAAUAAAGCUCCCCCAUGUGAAAAGCAUGGACCAAGGGCAAUUGUUCCACAGUAAAAAACAAAGUCAAAAACUGAAAUAGAAGAAAUAGCAAAACUUCACAGAACCUCUUUGUCCUUCACACUAGGGCUUGGGGGCAUUGCAGGUGGAGUCAGAGAACAAGUCAUAUCCUCCUGGUUAACACUUCUUCUCGGUUUCGAAUUCUUGGAAUCAAUGGGACGUCCUCUCUUCUUCUUCUGAGGUUUAGUUGCCACCAAAGUCAUCUCAGUUGGAUCUGGUGUGAGGCCGAGUGCCUUGGCCGGGAGAGUAGCAAGGAAGUCAGGAUGUUUCAUCUUCUUGGUAUGCACAUGAGUUUCAUGUAAUUGUAGCAAGUCAAUCAAUACCUUCAACUUCUUCGGAGAGGUCUCAGGUGAUGAAGGUUUGCCUCGUUUGCACCCUUCUCUAACAAUCAAGGCAUCCUUAGGUUCAUGUUCUGAUGCAUUUUGGUCAAAAGUUUGAUCAGGAUCAUUCACAGGUAUAAGAGAUAGGGCAUCAUCUUCAGGUUCACGUGUCGGCUUCUUUAGAAUGGUAGGGCACUUAUGCAUCUUCUCUUUCUUUUGAUCAAAGACCGAGGUAGCAAUUGGUGUAGAAGGCGAUACCGAACCUUGGAAUUUGAAGGCUCUAUGCACCAGAGCUUUGGAUGCAAAGCUGAUCACAAAGGCAGGGUUUGGAAUGAUGUCUGCAUUACAAUGACCUGCAAUAUUGUAACUAGAGUUUGCUUGGCAUUUUCCAUGUUCAUGGAACACCAAGUUACAAGCAUCACAAAUACCCAAACAAUUUUCAAAGUAAAAAUUAAUCUCUUCAUCAACAUCUGAUGCUAACUUGAUGGUUUUAGAGUUAAGGAUAGGAUCAGAGAGUUUCAUCUCAACCCUAACCCUAACCUUCUUUGAUCUUAUGAAAAGUUUGUCAUCAUACUCGAUAUAACGACCAACAACAGAAGCAAUACUAGGAAAAUUCUCAGGGAUUUCAUACUUAGGUGGUAUGUUUUGAAUACGUACCCAGAAGAAUAAAGAGUCCAUGACGAAGCUCUUGAUUGAUUUGACGCCAUCAUAUGGUUGGAUCACAAUCGGCACCUGCUGGUUCCGCCAGGGUCCUCCUCGGAGAACUUUGUUCAUGUCCUUGAUGAGAUCAAAGCUGAUGAUGAAGAUAUUAUUCGGACGUUCUUGGAUCUAAAAUUUUCUCUCCAAGAUCCAUACCCUUCCACAAAACCGCUUGAGUUCCAUCAGGCUUGGAGGGGUUGAGUUCAGCGGCUUCGCUAUCAAGAAGGAUUGUGCAACACCUUUUUUAAGAGCAGAGAUGCGGUGAGGGAGAUCCACAACCUUUGAAUUAGCAAGCGCCAAGGACGUAGCAAAGGACUUGGUGACAUCGUCGAUCUAUGCAGAUUUGAUCGACGACGAGGAGGCAAAAGACUUGCUCGAAUUCUACAAAGAGGAUGUUGCAGAAGACGAGUGAUUUGGUGUUGGUGAUGGAGAAGAAGAAGGGAGGAUGAUUUCCGGGAGUUUGAAAGUCAUGGAUGCAGUGAGAUUUGGUGAUGGAGCAGCGGCAAUAUUUGGUGGAGUAGGGUUAGGGUUUGGGGAGCGCAGCGGCACUCUUACGGUUUGGGAGAGAGGCGCGGCUAAAUUCAUAUCUAUGAUUGUUUAGGCUUUUCAUAAGGAGUUAUAUGUGAUUAGAUUUUCAUAAAAUAUUUUUGUAAUCUUUUAGGAAAGCUGAUAUCAAGGACGGAGCCAGGAUUCGAAAAUCACCAGGGCUAAAUUUCCUUUGAUAAAAAUUUUAAAAUGUAUGAAAAUAAAUUAUUGAUGCUUAUAUCUACAUUAAGAGCAUGAUUACUAAUGUUAGCCAUUUUUAAUUAAAUUUUAGUUGAAUUAGAUAAAAUGUCAUUUUGGCUAGCGAUUUUCGAAAUAGGUAUGCAUCAAUGUUCUCUACUUUAGGUAGUAUUAAAUUAAUUUUAUUCUUCAAAUGGAUAUUAAAUAGUUUAUGUGUAUUUGUAUAUCACAUAAAAUAUCUUAAAAUGAAUGCAUUAAAUUAUAAAGAGCCUCAUCUUGUUCACUAUAUUCAGCUAGUAAGAUUGUUAAAAGUUAUAAUUGUCACAUCCCGACCCUUAUAUUUUUACCUUAUUUACUAGCGUGAUUAUAAUAAGAAUUUUACCGUCUCGAUCAUUGAGUAAAUAGUUUAAUUGGUCCCUAGAGGGGUUUCGGGGACGAUUAUGUGUGGAGGAUUAUUCGUAUGAGGAAAAUACGACGACGGUAAAAAUGGUAAAUUUUAGCUAGUAAAAGGUAAUUUUUAUUCGGGUAUUAUUUUUCGGGGUGUUUUUAUUUUUGGAAUUUGGGUUGAUAUAGGUUGGACCGGUGGAGGCCCAACCCAUUUCUUUUUCCUUCCUUUCUCUUCUUCUUUUUUUCUUUUCCUCUCCCCGAGCUCUCUCUUCCCGCUGCCCGGUUUUCCGGCCGCCCUCCCGCCGCCGUCCGGNNNNNNNNNNNNNNNNNNNNNNNNNNNNNNNNNNNNNNNNNNNNNNNNNNNNNNNNNNNNNNNNNNNNNNNNNNNNNNNNNNNNNNNNNNNNNNNNNNNNNNNNNNNNNNNNNNNNNNNNNNNNNNNNNNNNNNNNNNNNNNNNNNNNNNNNNNNNNNNNNNNNNNNNNNNNNNNNNNNNNNNNNNNNNNNNNNNNNNNNNNNNNNNNNNNNNNNNNNNNNNNNNNNNNNNNNNNNNNNNNNNNNNNNNNNNNNNNNNNNNNNNNNNNNNNNNNNNNNNNNNNNNNNNNNNNNNNNNNNNNNNNNNNNNNNNNNNNNNNNNNNNNNNNNNNNNNNNNNNNNNNNNNNNNNNNNNNNNNNNNNNNNNNNNNNNNNNNNNNNNNNNNNNNNNNNNNNNNNNNNNNNNNNNNNNNNNNNNNNNNNNNNNNNNNNNNNNNNNNNNNNNNNNNNNNNNNNNNNNNNNNNNNNNNNNNNNNNNNNNNNNNNNNNNNNNNNNNNNNNNNNNNNNNNNNNNNNNNNNNNNNNNNNNNNNNNNNNNNNNNCUGAGAGAGUUACCGAAAAUGGGAUUUUCGGUGAAAUAUAAAUAUGUAUUUAUGAGAGAGUAUGUAUAGAAAAUGCUAGCUAGCCAUAUGUGUCUAUCCACCUUAAUGGCGUAGCAUAUAGCCGCAUUAUGGUGUGACGUGAGCGUUGGACGUAAGCGUAGUAGCCCUAUAUGAGUGUUUAAUUCAUAUAGGGGGUAUGGGCACAUAUUUAUACACCCGUCUGUCCACCUUGAUGGCGUAGUGUAGCACCGCAUUAAGGCGUGACGUGAGCGUUGGACGCGAGCGUAGUAGCCCUAUAUAGACCCAUGAAUUUAUAUAGGGAGUAUGGACGAGUGUAAAUACAUACAUAUAUUAUAGAGUCUGAGAGGCUCGAUAUUUUAUGGGAUAAAGGUUUUAUCGCUUGCGGCAUGCAUUCGAUUUUUCCUUAGAAAUUAAUUUGGGGAAACAUACAUAUUUUAUUUAUUAAUUUAUUUUUGUGUCCACUCACUCUAACGUUAUUAAAUGUUUUCCCCUGGGCCCUUCGUUUUAAAUUGCCCAGUCUGCAGAGUUCGGGUUGGAUCUAGUAGGAGACGAGGCAUAGUCACCCGCUUUUCGGCCAGUUUUCAUCAGUAGGUUACCUGUUCAACCUACUCGUGUUUUCUUGCUUCCGCUUGUGUUUAGUAGCUCUGAAUACUUUAGAAUUUUUGUAUAUUAUGUGAUGUUCGGAAGUGUUGAAUUAAGAGUGUAAGAUGAAAUUUUCCAGUUAGGGUUGUCUAUCUGCAAGGGAGAUUUGCUUAAUCUUUUCAGUAAAUUUUCCUUGGAGGUGGUCCCCGCACGACUUACUCUGGGUUUCAGGGUGAAAUUCGGGGUGGGUCGUGUCAAUAAUAGUUAAACUUUGGCUAGUCUGCUGGAGCUCCUAAAAUACCCAAAAAACUAAACACUUUCUCUAAGAGCAUUUUUAGCAGACUCUCUAUUUUGGAUGCUUAGCUAUUUUAGAGAGCGUGUUUAGCUUUUUUGGAUGUUUUAGGAGCCCCAGCAGACUAGCCAAAGUUGAGCUAUUAUGACUUUUAGCUAUCUCACUAGGUAAAUAUAAAGAUCUUAGAGCAUCUUUAGCAAUGUUAGCCAUUUUUAAGUUAAAUUUUAGUCAAAUUAUCUAAAAUGUCAUUUUGGCUAGCCACUUUAGAAAUGCGAUUGCAUCAAUGCUCUUUAUUUUAGCUAACAUUACAUCAACAUUAUUCUUAAAAUAAAGAUUAAGUAGUUUAAAUAUAUUUAUAUAUCACGUAAAAUAUCUUAUAAGGAAUGUAUUAAAUUAUAGCUAGCGAGCUAGCCUCAUCUGAGUCAUCUCGCUAGCUAUAUUUAGCUAGGGAGAUAGCUAAAAGUCAUAAAAGCAACUUUAGCAGACUCUCUAUUUUAGCUUUUAGCUAUUUUAGAGAGCGUGUUUAGCUUUUUUUGAUAUUUUUGGAGCUCCAGCAGACUAACCAAAGUUUAGCUAUUAUAACUUUUAGUUAUCUCGCUGGCUAAAUAUAGAGAACGAGAUGACUCAUACGAGACUAGCUAUAAUUUUAUACAUUCCUUAUAAAAUAUUUUAUGUUAUAUAUAAAUAUAUUUAAACUAUUUAAUCUUUAUUUGAAGAAUAAUGUUGAUGUAUUGCUAGCUAAAAUAGAGAGCAUUAAUGCAGCCAUAUUUCUAAAGUGGCUAGCCAAAAUGACAUUUUAGCUAAUUUGACAAAAAUUUAACUCAAAAAUGGCUAGCAUUGCUAAAGAUGCUCUAAUAACUAAACUUUGGCUAGUCUGCUGGAGCUCCAAAAAUAUUAAAAAAAGCUAAAUACGCUCUCUAAAAUAGCUAAAAGCUAAAAUAGAGAGUCUGCUAAAGUUUCUAUAAAUGACUUAGAUGAGACUCUUUAUAAUUUAAUACAUUCAUUUUAAGAUAUUUUAUGUGAUAAAUAAAUGGGUCCGGUGUCAAAAUAGAGAGCUGAUAAAUAUGCUCUAAGAAAAUAUUUUUGGCUUCUUAAAACCCGACAUUAAACUAUAAGAGUAUUUCGUCUAAAAAAAACUCUAGCCAUAAGAGUAGAAAUGAUAUUGAAUUUCAGAAGAUAAUCAGAUUCACAUCCCCAAAAUGCCAAUAUCGAUUGAUAUAGAACCCAACAUGUUUUGAGAAUCGAAUAAAAUUGAGGGAAAAGCAUUUGUUGGAAAACUCAAAAAAGAACCUAAAGUUUUGGAGCAAAAAACGUUGUAGUCGAAAGAAAUAAAAAGAAAAGAAGAAGACAAGACUAAUGUUUUGCAAUAUGGACCAAUGACUCUUUUUAAAUAGGAAAAAUUUCAGUUUACUCCCCUGAAAUUUAGGUAUAAAAUCAGUCUGAUACCUCAUAUUUUUUUUUAAUCAAUUUCAUCCCUAAACUUUUAAAAUGACAUCAAUCUCGACCAAAAUGACUAAAAUAACCAUUAUUACGGUUUUCCCUCAAUUACAACCAUCAUUACACCCCAAAAGCAUAAACCUAANNNNNNNNNNNNNNNNNNNNNNNNNNNNNNNNNNNNNNNNNNNNNNNNNNNNNNNNNNNNNNNNNNNNNNNNNNNNNNNNNNNNNNNNNNNNNNNNNNNNNNNNNNNNNNNNNNNNNNNNNNNNNNNNNNNNNNNNNNNNNNNNNNNNNNNNNNNNNNNNNNNNNNNNNNNNNNNNNNNNNNNNNNNNNNNNNNNNNNNNNNNNNNNNGAGAGAGAGAGAGGGUAAAANGAUUAAGUUUUUGAUCUUUAGGUUUAUGCUUUUGGGGUGUAAUGAAGGCUGUAAUUGAGGGAAAACCGUAACAAUGGCUAUUUUAGUCAUUUUGGUCGAAAUUGAUGUCAUUUUGAAAGUUUAGGGAUGAAACUGAUUAAAAAAAAAGAUGAGGUAUCGGACUGAUUAUACCUCAAGUUUAGGGGAGUGAACUGAAAUUUUUCCUUUUAAAUAAAAUAAAAGGUGGAGGUGGCAUAUGUAGAACAUGAUUUGUGUAUAUUCCAAUCCUUCAUUUAGUAUAAUAUAACAGGUUUUGACUUCUUUUAAUUAAUUUUUACUUGGGCUAUUGGUUCAUAUACCUGCUUAUCUACUAUUUUAUUUGAAAUUUUGAGAAAAAGUGUAUGGGUUGUAGCCCAGAGAUAAUUGUACUAUCCAUCGUCCCUAGUUGCUAUGCAUCUAAUAUGAAAAUGAUUUUCUAAAUCUUAUCUUCUUUAACUGAUUUGAUUUUUCAAAUUAAGUUUCCUUGUGUAUCUCAAUCAGUGAUCAAUGAGAUCCGAUUGAGGGGGAGUUGUAUCAGUAUAUAUACGCAUCAAAAAUUU